ensembl:snoRNA
AAUACUCAUGUGAUUUUGCUUAACUUGUGGACAAAGAUACCAGGCAGGUACAUAAGUAAACCCUCUUCUGCAACACAGGGCUCAUUGUAUGGUAUGUUUGAUACAUAUAAGGAGGAAUAUG